UCCCUCUUAGCUCAGUUGGUAGAGCGCGUCACUAGUAUUUAAGUUUCUGAAUAGAUACAAUGACGAGGUCAGUCGUUCAAAUCGGCUAGCGGGAA